rnacentral:rRNA from 1 species
ACUCAAAUGAAUAGACGGGGGCCCGCACAAGCGGCGGAGCAUGUGGCUUAAUUCGACGCAACGCGAAGAACCUUACCUGGGUUUGACAUGCGGGGUGAAACCGUAGAAACACGGUGCUCUUCGGAGCCCGCACAGGUGGUGCAUGGCUGUCGUCAGCUCGUGCCGUGAGGUGUUGCCUUAAGUGGCGCAACGAGCGCAACCCCUGUCCUUAGUUGCCAGCGAGUCAAGUCGGGAACUCUAGGGAGACUGCCGGUGCCAAACCGGAGGAAGGUGGGGAUGACGUCAAGUCAUCAUGCCCCUUAUAUCCAGGGCUGCACACAUGCUACAAUGCGUGGUACAGAGGGCUGCGAUCCAGUAAUGGUGAGCGAAUCCCAGAAAGCCACGCUCAGUUCGGAUCGAGGUCUGCAACCCGACCUCGUGAAGUUGGAGUCGCUAGUAAUCGCAGAUCAGCAGUGCUGCGGUGAAUACGUUCUCGGGCCUUGUACACACCGCCCGU